rnacentral:rRNA from 1 species
AACGCUAGCUACAGGCUUAACACAUGCAAGUCGAGGGGCAGCAUGGUCUUAGCUUGCUAAGGCCGAUGGCGACCGGCGCACGGGUGAGUAACACGUAUCCAACCUGCCGUCUACUCUUGGACAGCCUUCUGAAAGGAAGAUUAAUACAAGAUGGCAUCAUGAGUCCCCAUGUUCACAUGAUUAAAGGUAUUCCGGUAGACGAUGGGGAUGCGUUCCAUUAGAUAGUAGGCGGGGUAACGGCCCACCUAGUCUUCGAUGGAUAGGGGUUCUGAGAGGAAGGUCCCCCACAUUGGAACUGAGACACGGUCCAAACUCCUACGGGAGGCAGCAGUGAGGAAUAUUGGUCAAUGGGCGAGAGCCUGAACCAGCCAAGUAGCGUGAAGGAUGACUGCCCUAUGGGUUGUAAACUUCUUUUAUAAAGGAAUAAAGUCGGGUAUGGAUACCCGUUUGCAUGUACUUUAUGAAUAAGGAUCGGCUAACUCCGUGCCAGCAGCCGCGGUAAUACGGAGGAUCCGAGCGUUAUCCGGAUUUAUUGGGUUUAAAGGGAGCGUAGAUGGAUGUUUAAGUCAGUUGUGAAAGUUUGCGGCUCAACCGUAAAAUUGCAGUUGAUACUGGAUAUCUUGAGUGCAGUUGAGGCAGGCGGAAUUCGUGGUGUAGCGGUGAAAUGCUUAGAUAUCACGAAGAACUCCGAUUG